ensembl:snRNA U1 U1 spliceosomal RNA
AUGCUUACCUGGCAGGGGAGAUGCCAUGAUCACGAAGGUAGUUUUCCCAGGACGAGGCUUAUCCAUUGCACUCUGGAUGUGCUGACCCCUGAAUUUCCCCGAAUGUGGGAAACUCGACUGCAUAAUCUGUGGUAGUGGCGGACUACGUUUGAGCUUUCCCCUG